rnacentral:rRNA from 1 species
AUUGAACGCUGGCGGCAUGCUUUACACAUGCAAGUCGAACGGUAACAGGGUGCUUGCACCGCUGACGAGUGGCGAACGGGUGAGUAAUGCAUCGGAAUGUACCGUGUAAUGGGGGAUAGCUCGGCGAAAGCCGGAUUAAUACCGCAUACGCCCUGAGGGGGAAAGUGGGGGACCGAAAGGCCUCACGUUAUACGAGCAGCCGAUGUCUGAUUAGCUAGUUGGUGAGGUAAAGGCUCACCAAGGCGUCGAUCAGUAGCGGGUCUGAGAGGAUGAUCCGCCACACUGGAGCUGAGACACGGCCCAGACUCCUACGGGAGGCAGCAGUGGGGAAUUUUGGACAAUGGGCGCAAGCCUGAUCCAGCCAUGCCGCGUGUCUGAAGAAGGCCUUCGGGUUGUAAAGGACUUUUGUCCGGGAGCAAAUCCUAGUGGUUAAUAACCGCUGGGUCUGAGAGUACCGGAAGAAUAAGCACCGGCUAACUACGUG